rnacentral:rRNA from 1 species
UACGUAGGGUGCAAGCGUUGUCCGGAAUUAUUGGGCGUAAAGAGCUCGUAGGCGGUUUGUCGCGUCGGCUGUGAAAACCUGGGGCUCAACCCCGGGCCUGCAGCCGAUACGGGCAAGCUAGAAUUCGGUAGGGGAGACUGGAAUUCCUGGUGUAGCGGUGAAAUGCGCAGAUAUCAGGAGGAACGCCGGUGGCGAAGGCGGGUCUCUGGGCCGAUAUUGACGCUGAGGAGCGAAAGCGUGGGGAGCAAACAGG